rnacentral:lncRNA from 1 species
AUAUAACAAUAAGAAAUUAAGGGUUCGGGAAGGAGAGGGGCCACCCUGUGCUCACCCCCACACAGCCCUGCAGGAAAACCCAGUGAACGGUGCCCAGGUGCCUGGCUGACUCCUGGGCCGGGAGGGGACAUGGAGGGACAGUGGCCAUCAGGCUCUUUGUGGACACUGGGGAUUAACUACUGCUCGUUCUCAGCUCACUGGUGUCCAGCCCAUCAAUAACCUCAUCAAUAACCUAACUUUGGUCAAUUAGGUUGGAGUCCGAAGGUGACUGAUUUGCGGCAAGGUUUUCUCUCUUCCUCUGUAAAGUGGAGUCCUUCAUCAUUCAUCGCAAGUAGACAACUCGCUUCCUAAUGCCUCUGCAUUAAGGAGCCAGGCGCUGCAGCUCUUUGGUACGUGACCUCAAAUAGAUUCAUGCGUCCUUCUGCUGACACGCCCUGGGUUCUGGGACCUUUGGAAACCGCUUUGGACGAAGCUGAGCAUCUCUUUCCCCACGCUGACCUCCCCCAUAGACUCCGGAUGGGAGUAAAUGAGGCUCCUGGGAAAUCCAGAAACUCUAGAGAAGCUUGUUUGCCAAACCUUGCUUUGGGCGGUGGAGACAGAAUAUCAUGUCCCAGAUCAGCGUGUGGUGACUGUGGAGGCAUUUACACACAGCACACUCCAGCUCUGCCACUGGGCCGGCUGAGGUGGCUGCGGUACACGGCGCCCAUCCUGAGCCCCAGGUUCCUCACAUGUCAACAGCAUGAAAAGUGCCUCUAAGACAUCCACAGGUGUGCAGUGUUAAAGCAGGCAGCGCCUCAGCUUGGUUAGCUCCCUUAAGGACUGCGGCUCCCUUAGGACAAGGCUCUGUCCCUCAGAGCACUGAGUGCGAUCUCAUGCUGGCAUCUUAGAGACAUUGUAUUCACCAGGUAAGAUGGAUUCACAUCUGCUGGGUGCACGAACACUUCCUCCUUCCUUGCCACCAGCCAGCAUCACAACCAGCCUGGCCAGGCUCCCGUCCCAGCCCAGCCUAGCAGCUAACCCCAGCUCCAUCCCCCAGCAAGCCCCUCUGCCUGCACCUCAGCUUCUUCAUGGAAGACGAGUCAGGUCAUGAUGCCACCAGGGAGCGUGUUUCCAUGUUGAACUGAGACACUAAGCCCUUGACAAAUGUUGGCCAAGAAAAAAAAGGGGCUCCAAGAGGGGAGCUGUGGCUCAGGUAGAAGACGGUGAAUGAGCAUUGCCUGAAUCAGAGUUAGCUACUCUGGUUACACAGGUGUCCCCGGCAGGUUGGUCAAAAGCCCUUCCCUGAGUCCCGUGAUAAGUGUGGGGAGGGAGGCAAAUCAAAGACCCCUACACACCUCCUGCAUGGAUGGCCAGAGCGCUGGUCCCACCUCCUUCCUUCCAAACUGCAACCCCGAUCAGCACAGCAGAGAAGUCUCCUGUGGCAGGGACCAGUAAUUCAGUGCUUCCCCUGGAGAGUCUGGGAUUGCACAGAACACCAGAGGCUGGGGAUUUAUUUGUUCACCAACAUUCAUUCAACAAACACUUACUGAGGCCAACACUGGGAAUGGAGACGAACUUCCCUGUCCUCAUGGAGCUUGCUUUCAAAAGGGAAGGAGGCAGACAGUAAACAAAACAAGCAAGUCAAUAUACAGCAUGAUGCAGAAAAGGUGUGAUGCCACCCUCUUGCCUGAGUUUAUAACAAGCAGAUGAUGUUGUCCUAAGAAUUAAUUUCAGCCGGUGAAAGAGUACAGGCAAAAAACGUGGUCUCGGACUUUCCGGUGAUGCUUAAGAACAUAGUUGCAGUUUUUGUUCUGAUUCUUUGUGCAUCUCGCGCUAAUGAAGGAUUCUGCCAUGAUUGCCACCUCUGGAGACGUCACAGCCAGCACAGCCAUGACCAGGGAUGAACUUGGCCAUUGUCCAGCAGCACCAUGGGAGGACCAGCUGCUGUAAGUGAAGGUCAUCAUCCAUCUGAUUUGCUGGCUUUUUGCAACUACUGCGGUGGAAGUCUUAGAGUAGCCACCUUCUCUGUACUCAGACCUUCACUUCGCCAGAUGUCAGCACAGCAGUGUCAGCAGCUUCGUCAAACACAAACACCACCACCUCUCUGGAUCAGAAGCACAUGGAAAGCCCACCUUGCAAGAAGACCCAGCUAUUCCAAAAGUACCCAUAUCCCUGUAGCAUCCUCUUAGCUGAAUGUCUCUACUCCUUAAACUUGUACCACUUUGAAGAGUAAAAAUUUAAAUUCAUUCAUAUUAUCAUUUUUUAGUUUUUAGUAUAAGUGGAGCUGUUUAUCGGCCAUUUGUAUGUCCUUUUCUUUUUUUUGCAAAUUACUCCUUUGCCAAAUUUUCUCUCAAAUGACUCAUCUUUUUCUUAUUGAUUUGCAGAAGCUAUUUACAUAUUAUGGAUGUGGGGUGUCUAACAUACACAGCAAAUACUUUGUCCCAGUGUGUCACUUUUUAAAAAAAUUCUUAUAAUGUCUUUCAUCUUUAAAAAAUUAUUAAGCUAUUGUGAGCUUUUAUGCCUUUUCAGUUUAUUUUCUUACAUAGAUAAUUAUAUGAAGUGCAAAUAGGGGCAGUGUUAGUCUCAUCUUCCCAAGGCUGCACCUCAGAUGUGGAAUGUUGACAGCAACAUCUGUUACCUUGUUUCUGUUUUUAGGAUUUUAGCGUUAAGGCCAGGCAUAAUGGUUCAUGCCUGUAAUUCCAGCACUUUGGGAGGCCGAGGUGGGCAGAUCACUUGAAGCCAGGAGUUCAAGACCAGCCUGGCCAACAUGGAGAAACCCUCUCUAUUUUUAAAUACAUUUAAAAUGUUAACAAUUAAAACAAAAUAUUUUACCGUUAGUAUGAUGCUUGAUACAGGAUUUCUGGUACAUACGCCUUAUCAAAUUAAAUAAGUUUCCUUUUACUCUUGUUUAUUGUUAUUUUUUAAAAUAAGGAAUGAAUCUUGGAUUUUAGUGUAUCAAUAAUUAUAUUUUAUUCUUUAACUUCAUAAUAUUCCUUAUAAUUCCUUAUGUCAUAUUAAAGAUGUAAAUUCAUAUAUAUUUUAUCAUACAAAUGAUUAAUAAAUGUAUAAGCAUGUCAUUAUAUGAGAGUAUACUUCCUUAUGUUUCAUGAAUGCAUCGUGACAGGCUCAUUUUUUUAAUCACUGCUCGAUUUGUGCCACUGAUGUUUUAUGAGGCCUAUUUAUGUCGGCGAUGGUAAGAGUGUUAGUGUUUCCUCUGUGGGUACCUUCAUCUACCGUGAGUCUCCUGGAUAUGCUAGCAUCACAGAAUGGCAGGCGGAAAUUUCCAGCUUUUUCUAUAGAAUGAGUUUAACACAGAAAAUAGAUCUUUCUUGAAAAUGUGGUAACACUUACCUGGAAACCUCCCUGGCCUAGUGCCUCUUUUCUUGGGGCUAAAGGGUAUGAAAAUGGGUAGAUCUCCAAAUGCCUUUUCCAUUUUUCUAUGAAUAUUAUUCCUACUCAGGCUUUUCUCUUCUUGGAACAAUGCUGCUAACUUGUGCCUACUUGGCUAUUUCUACUUCAUGUAUAUUUUCAAAUCCAUUGGUGUGCAAGUGGACUUAGUAUGUUCUUGCAAGCGUAAGAGUCUCCAUUAGUGUAAUGACCUUCUCUCUUUCUGUUUUCCUUGAGCAAUUAACAUAUAUUUGUCUUAUUUUAUUGGUCUUCUCAAAAGAAUAUGCUUUUGAGUUAUUGAUCACCUGUACCAUGUGUUCUAUCACACUAUUCUGUGUUUACUCAAGCUCGUUAAUUGAUAUUCAAAUCCCUGUAUUUUGUCAAUUUCUGUUA